AACGCACAUUGCGCCCCUUGGUAUUCCGGGGGGCAUGCCUGUUCGAGCGUCAUUUAAACCCUCAAGCUCAGCUUGGUGUUGGGGCAUGCCUACCGGCAGCCCCUAAAAUCAGUGGCGGUGCCUGCUGGCUCUAAGCGUAGUAAUACUCCUCGCUAUAGGGACCGGUGGACCACCCGCCAGAACCCCCAAUUUUCUAUGGUUGACCUCGGAUCAGGUAGGGAUACCCGCUGAACUUAA
rnacentral:misc_RNA from 1 species